rnacentral:rRNA from 1 species
GACGAACGCUGGCGGCAUGCCUGAUACAUGCAAGUCGAGCGAACAGAUGGAGUGCUUGCACUUCUGACGUUAGCGGCGAACGGGUGAGCAACACGUAAGGAAUCUACCUAUAAGCGGGGGAUAACAUUCGGAAACGGGUGCUAAUACCGCAUAAUAUCUUCUUCCGCAUGGAAGAAGAUUGAAAGACGGCUCUGCUGUCACUUAUAGAUGACCUUGCGGUGCAUUAGUUAGUUGGUGGGGUAACGGCCUACCAAGGCGAUGAUGCAUAGCCGACCUGAGAGGGUGAUCGGCCACAUUGGGACUGAGACACGGCCCAAACUCCUACGGGAGGCAGCAGUAGGGAAUCUUCCGCAAUGGGCGAAAGCCUGACGGAGCAAUGCCGCGUGAGUGAAGAAGGCCUUCGGGUCGUAAAACUCUGUUAUAAGAGAAGAACAAAUUGUAGAGUAACUGCUACAGUCUUGACGGUAUCUUAUCAGAAAGCCACGGCUAACUACGUGCCAGCAGCCGCCGUAA